UGUGUGCCUUGCCAUGAAUCUGUCAAGGGGUACAAGAGUGAUCUAGGAAUGGAUUACUGUACAACGGUCAAAAUUAUCCUUAGUAACUUCAGGACUAAGGAAAUGUUUCUCGAUAAUGGAGGUUGUCGUGGGUAUAAGCCUGACAGUAGAUGUGUAGGGUACGAAAAGGAUGGGCAGAGUCCUAGCUACGGCGAGGUUGUAUGAGUUCAGGGCCCUCAAC
rnacentral:lncRNA from 1 species